ACUACGGGCGGCAGCAGUGGGGGAUAUUGCACAAUGGGGGGAACCCUGAUGCAGCGACGCCGCGUGGGUGAAGAAGCGCCUCGGCGCGUAAAGCCCUGUCAGCAGGGAAGAAAAUGACGGUACCUGAAGAAGAAGCCCCGGCUAACUACGUGCCAGCAGCCGCGGUAAUACGUAGGGGGCAAGCGUUAUCCGGAUUUACUGGGUGUAAAGGGGGCGCAGACGGCGAUGCAAGCCAGGAGUGAAAGCCCGGGGCCCAACCCCGGGACUGCUCUUGGAACUGCGUGGCUGGAGUGCAGGAGGGGCAGGCGGAAUUCCUGGUGUAGCGGUGAAAUGCGUAGAUAUCAGGAGGAACCCCGGUGGCGAAGGCGGCCUGCUGGACUGCAACUGACGUUGAGGCCCGAAAGCGUGGGGAGCAAACAGGAUUAGAUACCCGAGUAGUC
rnacentral:rRNA from 1 species